ACGCUAGCUACAGGCUUAACACAUGCAAGUCGAGGGGCAUCAGUUUGGUUUGCUUGCAAACCAAAGCUGGCGACCGGCGCACGGGUGAGUAACACGUAUCCAACCUGCCUCAUACUCGGGGAUAGCCUUUCGAAAGAAAGAUUAAUAUCCGAUAGCAUAUAUUUCCCGCAUGGGUUUUAUAUUAAAGAAAUUCGGUAUGAGAUGGGGAUGCGUUCCAUUAGUUUGUUGGGGGGGUAACGGCCCACCAAGACUACGAUGGAUAGGGGUUCUGAGAGGAAGGUCCCCCACAUUGGAACUGAGACACGGUCCAAACUCCUACGGGAGGCAGCAGUGAGGAAUAUUGGUCAAUGGACGCGAGUCUGAACCAGCCAAGUAGCGUGAAGGAUGACUGCCCUAUGGGUUGUAAACUUCUUUUAUAUGGGAAUAAAGUUGUCCACGUGUGGAUUUUUGUAUGUACCAUAUGAAUAAGGAUCGGCUAACUCCGUGCCAGCAGCCGCGGUAAUACGGAGGAUCCGAGCGUUAUCCGGAUUUAUUGGGUUUAAAGGGAGCGUAGGCGGAUUGUUAAGUCAGUUGUGAAAGUUUGCGGCUCAACCGUAAAAUUGCAGUUGAUACUGGCAGUCUUGAGUGCAGUAGAGGUGGGCGGAAUUCGUGGUGUAGCGGUGAAAUGCUUAGAUAUCACGAAGAACUCCGAUUGCGAAGGCAGCUCACUGGAGUGUAACUGACGCUGAUGCUCGAAAGUGUGGGUAUCAAACAGGAUUAGAUACCCUGGUAGUCCACACAGUAAACGAUGAAUACUCGCUGUUUGCGAUAUACAGUAAGCGGCCAAGCGAAAGCAUUAAGUAUUCCACCUGGGGGAGUACGCCGGCAACGGUGAAA
rnacentral:rRNA from 1 species